AUUGAACGCUGGCGGCAGGCCUAACACAUGCAAGUCGAACGAGUGGCGGACGGGUGAGUAAUGUCUGGGAAACUGCCCGAUGGAGGGGGCUAACUACUGAAAACGGUAGCUAAUACCGCAUACCAUCGGAUGUGCCCAGAUGGGAUUAGCUAGUAGGUGGGGGAAUGGCUCACCUAGGCGACGAUCCCGAGCUGGUCUGAGAGGAUGACCAGCCACGUUGGAACUGAGACACGGUCCAGACUCCUACGGUAGGUAGCAGGGGGGAAUAUGGCACAAUGGGCGCAAGCCUGAUGCAGCCAUGCCGCGUGUAUGAAGAAGGCCUUCGGGUUGUAAAGUACGUUCAGCGAGGAGGCGUUACUCGCAGAAGAAGCACCGGCUAACUCCGUGCCAGCAGCCGCGGUAAUUC
rnacentral:rRNA from 1 species